UACGUAGGGUGCGAGCGUUGUCCGGACUUAUUGGGCGUAAAGAGCUCGUAGGCGGUUUGUUGCGUCGGCCGUGAAAACCUGCAGCUUAACUGUGGGCCUGCGGUCGAUACGGGCAGACUUGAGUUCGGUAGGGGAGACUGGAAUUCCUGGUGUAGCGGUGAAAUGCGCAGAUAUCAGGAGGAACACCGGUGGCGAAGGCGGGUCUCUGGGCCGAUACUGACGCUGAGGAGCGAAAGCGUGGGGAGCGAACAGG
rnacentral:rRNA from 1 species